rnacentral:rRNA from 1 species
UACGUAGGGUGCGAGCGUUGUCCGGAAUUAUUGGGCGUAAAGAGCUUGUAGGCGGUCUGUCGCGUCUGCUGUGAAAAUCCGGGGCUCAACCCCGGACUUGCAGUGGGUACGGGCAGACUAGAGUGUGGUAGGGGAGACUGGAAUUCCUGGUGUAGCGGUGAAAUGCGCAGAUAUCAGGAGGAACACCGAUGGCGAAGGCAGGUCUCUGGGCCACUACUGA